rnacentral:rRNA from 1 species
GACGAAGGGGGGCUAGCGUUGUUCGGAAUUACUGGGCGUAAAGCGAGUGUAGGUGGUUGUCGUAGUCAGGCGUGAAAGCCUUGAGCUCAACUCAAGAAAUGCGCUUGAUACUGGGCAGCUAGAGGACCGGAGAGGAUAGUGGAAUUCCCAGUGUAGUGGUGAAAUACGUAGAUAUUCGCAAGAACACCAGUGGCGAAGGCGGCUCACUGGCCCGAUACUGACGCUGAGGUGCGAAAGCGUGGGGGAGCAAACAGG